GACGAACCGAGCGAACGUUGUUCGGAAUCACUGGGCUUAAAGGGCGCGUAGGCGGGUGCUCAAGUCCGUGGUGAAAUCCUCCGGCUCAACCGGAGAACUGCCUCGGAUACUGGGCGGCUCGAGUGUGGUAGGGGUAUGCGGAACUAUCGGUGGAGCGGUGAAAUGCGUUGAUAUCGAUAGGAACUCCGGUGGCGAAGGCGGCAUACUGGACCACCACUGACGCUGAUGCGCGAAAGCCAGGGGAGCGAACGGG
rnacentral:rRNA from 1 species